rnacentral:tRNA from 1 species
AAAAUCCGUCGAAUUUAAAUCCCCCUCUAUCCCCA